AUUAAAGGGGUGCUUGUACGGCUGAGAAAGGUUUGCCUUAACCCAUAACCUGAUCCGGGUAAUGCCGGCGUAGGAAAGAAAA
rnacentral:ncRNA from 1 species